rnacentral:lncRNA from 1 species
UAACGAGUGCUCCGGUUUUCUGCAGUUGCCUCUUCUACUUGCCUUGAAGGUACUGAUUGUCUUCAUAUCAUU